UACGGAGGGUGCAAGCGUUAUCCGGAUUCACUGGGUUUAAAGGGUGCGUAGGAGGGCAGGUAAGUCAGUGGUGAAAUCUCCGAGCUUAACUCGGAAACUGCCGUUGAUACUAUCUGUCUUGAAUCCCGUGGAGGUGAGCGGAAUAUGUCAUGUAGCGGUGAAAUGCUUAGAUAUGACAUAGAACACCAAUUGCGAAGGCAGCUCGCUACACGAAGAUUGACUCUGAGGCACGAAAGCGUGGGGAUCAAACAGG
rnacentral:rRNA from 1 species